rnacentral:rRNA from 1 species
AGAGUUUGAUCCUGGCUCAGGAUGAACGCUAGCGGCAGGCCUAACACAUGCAAGUCGAACGGUAAGAUCCAGCUUGCUGGAUACACGAGUGGCGCACGGGUGAGUAACGCGUAUGCAACCUACCUUUAACUAGAGAAUAGCCCGGGGAAACCCGGAUUAAUACUCUAUAAUAUCUUAGAUUCGCAUGUUUCUAAGAUUAAAGCUCCGGCGGUUAAAGAUGGGCAUGCGUGACAUUAGAUUGUUGGUGAGGUAACGGCUCACCAAGUCUACGAUGUCUAGGGGGCCUGAGAGGGUGGUCCCCCACACUGGUACUGAGACACGGACCAGACUCCUACGGGAGGCAGCAGUGAGGAAUAUUGGGCAAUGGACGAAAGUCUGACCCAGCCAUGCCGCGUGCAGGAUGACGGCCCUACGGGUUGUAAACUGCUUUUAUACAGGAAGAACUCCCUGAUCGUGAUCGGGGUUGACGGUACUGUACGAAUAAGCAUCGGCUAACUCCGUGCCAGCAGCCGCGGUAAUACGGAGGAUGCAAGCGUUAUCCGGAUUUAUUGGGUUUAAAGGGUGCGUAGGCGGAAAUUUAAGUCAGUGGUGAAAUCCUGCAGCUCAACUGUAGAACUGCCAUUGAUACUGAUUUUCUUGAGUCCAGUUGAGGUGGGCGGAAUGUGUAGUGUAGCGGUGAAAUGCUUAGAUAUUACACAGAACACCAAUUGCGAAGGCAGCUCACUAAACUGGCACUGACGCUGAGGCACGAAAGCGUGGGGAGCGAACAGGAUUAGAUACCCUGGUAGUCCACGCCGUAAACGAUGAUCACUCGCUGUUGGCGAUACACAGUCAGCGGCUGAGCUAAAGCAUUAAGUGAUCCACCUGGGGAGUACGAUCGCAAGAUUGAAACUCAAAGGAAUUGACGGGGGCCCGCACAAGCGGAGGAACAUGUGGUUUAAUUCGAUGAUACGCGAGGAACCUUACCUGGGCUUAAAUGCAGAACGACGAUUCGGGAAACCGAUUCUCCCUUCGGGGCGGACUGCAAGGUGCUGCAUGGUUGUCGUCAGCUCGUGCCGUGAGGUGUCGGGUUAAGUCCCAUAACGAGCGCAACCCCUAUUGUUAGUUGCCAGCGGAUAAUGCCGGGGACUCUAACGAAACUGCCGGUGUAAACCGUGAGGAAGGUGGGGAUGACGUCAAAUCAGCACGGCCCUUAUGUCCAGGGCUACACACGUGUUACAAU